AGUGGCGACCGGGUGAGUAACACGUGACUACCUGCCCUUGAGUGGGGGAUAACCUCGGGAAACCGAGGCUAAUACCGCAUAAUAUCGCAAGAUCAAAGGAGCAAUCCGCUUUUGGAGGGGGUCGCGGCUGAUUAGCUAGUUGGUAGGGUAAUGGCCUACCAAGGCGAAGAUCGGUAUCCGGCCUGAGAGGGCGCACGGACACACUGGAACUGAAACACGGUCCAGACUCCUACGGGAGGCAGCAGUGGGGAAUUUUGCGCAAUGGGGGAAACCCUGACGCAGCAACGCCGCGUGGAGGAUGAAGCCCCUUGGGGCGUAAACUCCUUUCGACUGGGAAGAUUAUGACGGUACCAGUGGAAGAAGCACCGGCUAACUCUGUGCCAGCAGCCGCGGUAAUACAGAGGGUGCGAGCGUUGUUCGGAAUUAUUGGGCGUAAAGGGCGCGUAGGCGGUGUUGUAAGUCACCUGUGAAACCUCUGGGCUUAACUCAGAGCCUGCAGGCGA
rnacentral:rRNA from 1 species